UACGUAGGUGGCGAGCGUUAUCCGGAAUGAUUGGGCGUAAAGGGUGCGUAGGCGGCGGGAUAAGUCUGAAGUGAAAGGCUGCAGCUCAACUGCAGUAUGCUCCGGAAACUGUCCUGCUGGAGUGCAGGAGAGGGCGAUGGAACUCCAUGUGUAGCGGUAAAAUGCGUAGAUAUAUGGAAGAACACCGGUGGCGAAGGCGGUCGCCUGGCCUGCAACUGACGCUGAAGCACGAAAGCGUGGGGAGC
rnacentral:rRNA from 1 species